rnacentral:tRNA from 7 species
GGACAGGUGGCCGAGUGGUUGAAGGCACCGGUCUCGAAAACCGGCAUACCGGCAACGGUAUCGUGAGUUCGAAUCUCACCCUGUCCG